AGUAUAUACUUACAAUGAAAGAAACGAAUAUCUAUUAUAUGUAUGGAUAGGUUGUGAAAGCAUGGAGGAAGAUAGAGCUGAUGCCAUAUCUAAUGCUAGUGCCAUUGUUUCUUCAACCAAGGGUGAAUCUGUAAUGUGUCAUAUACACCAGGGCCAA